GCCUUUUUAUAGGCUUUUUUCUAUGUAUCUGCCUGCCCUCUUCUAAAAUGGCGGCAUUUUGAACGUAUCCAGCCCUCAACAAAGAUGGAAAUCGCCUUGGUUGCCGUGGAUACCAUUCUCCGCCUUUACCAAAGCCCUUCAGCGGUUGAGGACUUCAACUGCCAGAAGCCUUCGCCGCGUCUGCCAAUGAGCAGGAAUUAUGGGAGUUGAAGUCCAAAACCUUAAAAGGCCGAAAUUGGAGGGAAAUGACUCCAUAGCAUUAGGCCCUGGCGUCAAAAGGUCGGAAUUUGAGGUUCGGACGGGGAGGACGCAACUCACCUGUGGAACCAGGAACUGGCUCAGGAGAUAAGCGGCGGUGACAGCGGAGGAGGGAGCGUCGGGGCCGAUGACCGCCACCACCCGUGUCUUGUAGUCACUGUAGUUCCGCUUGAUCUCGACCCUCAAGUGGUCGUCAGAGAGGAAGGAGAAGAGCGGCUGGAUGAUGUUGGUCAGGUAGCAGACGUCGAAGAUCUCGUAGCCCAAGGAGAGUCCCGGGAGCAGGGCGCUGGAGUUGUUGAUCUCCUCCACCGCAAAGCGCAUGGCUUGCAGGUAGCUGAAGCCGAUCGUCCUCAGUCUGUAACUGGGAGGGAGAGAGAGAGGCACCAUUUCCUACCCAUCCCAGAAUCCCCUCUUGCAAAUUCACAGGAGAAUGGACUAUAAACUUAAUAUGAGCUGGUGCUGUGAUGCUGCAGCACGUCCGACCGAUCCUGCUUCUCUGCCUGAAACUAAGGAAUACUUGGUACCUCUUUGAAUGGGUUUCAUUUUGGGGUUUAGAUCAGGGGUCCGGAAACUGUUGGGGGGCCAGACUAUGAUGUCCAAAAUUAAGAUUGUUGUUGUUGUGUGGCUUCAAGUCGUUUCAGACUUAGGUCAACCCUAAGGCUAAAGUUUAGGACAGAGGCCAGGUCAAUGACCUUGGAGGACCUUAGUUUGGGGACUCCUGAUCUAGACGAUCUCAUAAGAUCUCAGGUAAGCAAAGAGACCUCCAAAGACCAUCUAGAUGGUCUCAUAAGACCAUAGGUAAGGAAAGGGACCUCCAAAGACCGUCUAGAUGAUCUCAUAAGACCAUAGGUAAGGAAAGGGACCUCCAAAGACCAUCUAGAUGGUCUCAUAAGACCAUAGGGAAGCAAAGACACCUCCAAAGACCAUCUAGAUGGUCUCAUAAGGCCAUCAGAAGACCAUAGAUAAGGAAAGAAUCCCUCAAAGACCAUCUAGAUGGUUUCAUAAGCCUAUAGGUAAGGAAAAGGACCCUUAAAGGCCAUCUAGAUGGUCUCAUAGGACCGUAGGUAAGGAAAGCGACCUCCAAAAGCCAUCUAGAUGGCCUCACAAGGCUGCAGCUAAGCAAAGAGGCCUUCAAAGACCAUCUAGACAAUCUCAUAAGGCCAUAAGUAAGCAAAGAGACCUCCUAGAUUGCUAGGGUAGAUAGAUAGAUAAGAUAAGAUAGAUAGAUAAAGGUGUUCAACUGGGGAAUAUGCUGCUGGGGAGUUUGGCGGAGCUUUCUUCCUUUUCUGCAAGAGGCUGGGUGGCCAUCUGUUAGGAGGGCUUGGGUUGUGUCUUUGUCCCUUCAAACUACGAGUAUAAUAAUAAUAAGGGUUGUUGUGGUUGUUGUUAUUAUUAUUAUAUCUUCCUGCCUGGCAGAAGGGUUAGAGUCCAUAAUAAUAAUAAUAAUAAUAAUAAUAAUAAUAAUAAUAAUAAUAAUAAUAAUAAUAAUUGUAGUCAAAAAUCAGAAACUCCUUAAAACACAGCAAACAAAGAAUCAGUACAAGAAAACCGCACUACAAACUAGAGCUAACAGCUGGCACAACAAAACACUGCAUGGAAAGUUCCUUGACAAAAUUGAAGGAAAAGCUGAUAAGGAGAAGACCUGGCUCUGGCUCUGGCUCACGGAUGGGACCCUGAAGAAGGAGACAGAAGGCCUGAUCCUUGCAGCCCAGGAGCAAGCCAUCAGAACAAAGGCAAUUCAGGCCAAGAUCGAAAAAUCAGCUGAUGACCCAAAAUGCAGACUGUGCAAGGAAACCGACGAAACCAUUGAUCACAGCUGCUGUAAGAAAAUCACACAGACAGACUACAAACAGAAGCACAACUAUGUGGCCUAAAUGCCUCAAGUACCACUUCCCAGCAGCAAAGAACUGCAAAAGUAUUGGAAAAUGAGCACGCAAAGAUACUGUGGGACUUCCGAAUCCAGACUGACAAAGUUCUGGAACACAACACGCCAGACCUCAUAGUUGUGGAAAAGAAAAAGGUUUGGAUCAUUGGUGUUGCCAUCCCAGGUGACAGUCGCAUUGACGAAAAACAACAGGGAAAACUCAGCCGCUCUCAGGACCUCAAGAUUGAACUUCAAAGACUCUGGCAGAAACCAGUGCAGAUGGUCCCGGUGGUGAUGGGCACACUGGGUGCCGUGCCAAAAGAUCUCGGCCGGCAUUUGGAAACAACAGACUGACAAAAUUACAAUCUGCCAACUGCAAAAGGCCACCCGACUGGGAUCUGCACGCAUCGUCCGAAAAUACAUCACACAGUCCUAGACACUUGGGAAGUGUUCGACUUGUGAUUUUGUGAAAUUAAAUCCAGCAUGUCUAUCUUGUUUGCUGUGUCAUACAAUAAAAUAAUAAUAAUAAUAAUAGUAAAUGAUAAUAA